CCAGCCUGAACUGUGUAGUGAGACCCUGUCUCAAAAAGACAAAAAAACACAGGGUCUCUCUAAGUAGGUAAAUUAUCCAGGCUGGCCUCAAACUCCCAACAGUCCUCCUGCCUCAGCCUCCUGAGUGCUGGGAUGACAGGUAUGUGUCACCAUGCCUGGCUCAACUCUUUCUCCCUAAUAACUUCUGAACCUCAGUUUCCUCCUCAGUGAUCGUCCAGCCCCUCAGAACUGGGGAGACUUGGCCCGUGGGCUCAGCUCUGAGGAAUGUUGUCAUCUCGCUGUCACACGUGUGACACCUCAUUUUCUGUCCCUUCAGGCCCCCCACGGGCACCUGCAGAGCCCUCGUCCCCACCAGUGUCUGCGCCAGAGAACCCAGGCCGGGUGGCCUCUGCUGACCCUGUGGACACGGAGCCCCCUGGGGAGGCGGCUCCCGUGUCACGGGAGGCUGGGGGAGCAGGUGGGCCCCAGGCGGGCGUGCGCUCCAUCAUGAAGAGGAAGGAGGAGCCCGGAGACCCCUCAGCCCACAGGAGGAGCCUGCAGUUUGUGGGGGUCAACGGCGGGUGAGGAGCCCCCUACCCUGCAAUUCUUGUGUGUCCCUCGGGUCCUGCAGGCACAAGAAGGAAGGGACCCAGCACCCUGUUCUGCAUCUUUCAUUUUGGUUAAUUGGAUGAAUCAAACCACAUUCAGAGCCAGGACUGGCAGCGCACACCUGUCAUCCCAGCACUCGAGAGGCUGAGGCAGGAGGAUCACUGCAAGUUCAAGGCCAGCCUGGACUACGUAGAGAGACCCUGUCUCAAAAAAUAAAUAUAGAAAAGGGCUGGGGAUAUAGCUCAUCCCCACUUUCUUGUGAAGGCCCUGGGUUCAAUCCUAGUAUUUCAAAAACAUUUUUUUAAAAAAAGAGGGUCCUGUGGGACGUGGGACAUUGGUCUGAGUUAGGAAGUGCUGCAUGAGGCCCUGAGCACCCCCACCCCAUGACAUGAUCAGAGUCACAGCUAAUGUUUGUUUAUUUUUUGUUCUUUAAGACAGGGCCAGCCUCAGACACCCUCCUGCCUCAGCCUCCUGAGUGCUGGGAUCACAAGCGUGUACCACAAUGUCUGGUGGCUGAGGCUUAUUGAGCACUAUGUACCUGGUGCCACAGACACAUGUGCAGCCCCCUGUGGUCCGUGUCACCGUCAUCCCCACCUGAUUAGCAUAUGGGGACACUGAGGCCCAGGG
rnacentral:lncRNA from 1 species